rfam:Togninia minima TCRPA7 unplaced genomic scaffold PA7_03_scaffold_607, whole genome shotgun sequence.
CAUUUCCCCCGACGUGACACAACAUCCUGCUGAGGUGUUGUGCUCUGGCCUGCAGUGUCAGUCGGCGGAAAUG